GACGAACGCUGGCGGCGUGCUUAACACAUGCAAGUCGAACGGAAAGGCCCUGCUUUUGUGGGGUGCUCGAGUGGCGAACGGGUGAGUAACACGUGAGUAACCUGCCCUUGACUUUGGGAUAACUUCAUGAAACUGGGGCUAAUACCGGAUAUGAGCUCCUGCUGCAUGGUGUGUGUUGGUAAGUUUCGGCGGUUGGGGAUGGACUCGCGGCUUAGCAGCGUGUUGGUGGGGUAGUGUCUUACCAAGGCUUUGACGGGUAGCCGGCCUGAGAGGGUGACCGGCCACAUUGGGACUGAGAUACGGCCCAGACUCCUACGGGAGGCAGCAGUGGGGAAUAUUGCACAAUGGGCGGAAGCCGGAUGCAGCAACGCCGCGUGCGGGAUGACGGCCUGCGGGUAGUAACCCGCUUUCGCCUGUGACGAAGCGUGAGUGACGGUAAUGGGUAAAGAAGCACCGGCUAACUACGUG
rnacentral:rRNA from 1 species